AUUGAACGCUGGCGGCAGGCUUAACACAUGCAAGUCGAGCGAGCGGCGGACGGGUGAGUAAUGUCGGGGAAACUGCCUGAUGGAGGGGGAUAACUACUGGAAACGGUAGCUAAUACCGCAUACCAUCAGAUGUGCCCAGAUGGGAUUAGCUAGUAGGUGGGGUAAUGGCUCACCUAGGCAACGAUCCCUAGCUGGUCGGAGAGGAUGACCAGCCACACUGGAACUAAUGCACGGUCCAGACUCCUACGGGUGGCAGCAGUGGGGAUGAUUGCACAAUGGGCGCAAGCCUGAUGCAGCCAUGCCGCGUGUAUGAAGAAGGCCUUCGGGUUGUAAAGUACUUUCAGCGAGGAGGCGUUACUCGCAGAGGAAGCACCGGCUAACUCCGUGCCAGCAGCCGCGGUAAUAC
rnacentral:rRNA from 1 species